CCUGACGGUAGUCGUAUGUUCGUCUCCGAGACUAAGCCAUGCAAGUCCAAGUACACGUCCUUGAACGACGGAAACUGCGAACGGCUCAUUAAAUCAGUUGCGAUCUACUCGGCGUUCCGCGCCGCCGGAUAACCGUAGUAAUUCUAGGGCUAAUACGUGCGAAGCGCCCGAAGCCGCGAGGCGACGGGCGUUCUCGCCGGAUGUAGGAACCGACCCGGGGACCGCCGGGGCAACCCGGCGCCCCCGAGACGGGGCGGAACCACGGUGAAAUGACGGAUCGUCGGCCCCGCGCCGGCGACUCGCCGAAUGAGUUUCUGACCUAUCAACUCGAGACGGCGGGGUAGGAGGCCCGCCGCGGUAACGACGGUAACGGGGAAGUCAGGGUUCGGAUUCCGGAGAGGGAGCCCGAGAAACGGCUACCACUUCCAAGG
rnacentral:rRNA from 1 species